CCUUACGGCCAUACCAGCCUGGGUACGCCCGAUCUCGUCUGAUCUCGGAAGCUAAGCAGGGUCGGGCCUGGUUAGUACUUGGAUGGGAGACCGCCUGGGAAUACCAGGUGCUGUAAGCA
rnacentral:rRNA from 1 species